AUGACCUAAUUAUUCUGUUCAGGUGUGGUGCAGCAGAGGCACAUCUAAAAGUUGCAGGACUGCGGCCCUCGAGGACUGGAGUUUGAGACCCCUGAAUAGGCUCUGUAACUAGGACCGCCCUAAGGAAAUAAAAAGAAAGUCUCUGGGAGGAGCUGUUUUAGAGCGGUUUGAGAAUGCUUAGGUAGAUGAACCUGACAUUAAUUUGGUCCUUCGAAGCCGGAUCCCAAGAUACUGAAGGAAUUCAGCGGGUGAGACCGAAUCCAGAAGGACCGUGCGCAAGGCUAAACUCUUCAGAAUGAGUUUAGAUCCUUUUCCGGGACUGGUAUUUGGUUUACCAGCUGGAAUCUGACGCUUGACGGGACUCCGUGGAAGGGGAGAGACAACUGAGAGUAAAUUCUCUUUUAAAAGAAAAGCGUGAAUGAGUUGAUGGCGUUCGCGUUAAAAGAAAUCCUGUGUAAGAAACGCUGUGAAUCCUGGGCUCUAACAGCGGAAACUAAACGGCUUUAACUUUAUGCUGUUGUGGUGAUAAUUGGAUGGCGGAGUCCAGCGAGCAGCCGCUUAAAUCCGUCUUAAAAGUUUCAUUCCGUAAAAAAAAAGGGCGGCGGAGUCCUGCGUGAAGACGCUUCCGCUCCGUAACUGAAGUGUGAUUGGAGGUAUAAACACCUUUAGGUAUUUUAUCUCAUUUAAAGUAGCGGGUUUGGAAGGAGCAAACCAAUUGAAGAUGCAGAGGCAAGAAUCCUCCACUCGUAAGAGUCCAAGAAAGGAUUACCACAAUUGGUAUUUUUAAUUGUUACCCACUAUAAAAAAGAAACCAGUUUUUAGAACAGCCUAGGUGUUGACAAACUGGUCUAAAUUGUUUAAAAUGGGUAGAAAUAGCAGGAAGUGGAGAGAAGUGUUUCAAUAUGUGUUCGUUUAAUUUCUUUUAUAAAUGAAUUCAUUUAAAUUGUCCGGAAUGGUAGCAAAAUAACUGCAGUACUGGAGAAUACACAGCAGAUGGCGGCAUAGCACCCAUUGAACGAAUUACUGCUUUAUAUUUCAACAGUAAAUGUAAAUCAAAAGAUUAACAGCAGUGAAAAUAUUGGGAGUGUGUUGAAGGGCAGGUCCCUGAUAAAAUACAAAAUAUCUGAAUAAAUGGAUAGUAAAGUACAGGUUAAAAGGUUAAUUAAAUACUAAAAUAGAACUAGAACUAUAGGAUAAAAUAAAAAACUAAAGAAAGAGCCAAGAAAUCAAGGAAACAGAAGAUUGUGAUAACAGUGUGUUGGCAAAUAAAUAGAUGACUAAAUGAAACACUAACUAAAUAAAUAAAUACAGGAAUAAGUAGAUUAAUAUAAUAAAUAAAAAAAUAUCUGAAAACUGGAACAAAAGUCAUAAAGGAAAACAAGUAACAGACAGGAAUGUGAAACACAAGAAAGGGGAAUAUGAAAGUUUUUUUAAGAAGGAAAAGGAUGAGGAAACUUUAAACAGUUAAAGUUUCAUAGAAAGAAAAAUAAUGAUGAAAACUACUAGCUCAUGGUUUGCAGGAAUUAAUAAACUGAGUAGUAGGUUUGGUAAGUAGGCAUAUGUGGUGAUUUAGAAAUAAGGAGAAAGGCAAGGAGCAAGUGAGUCAAAGUAAGAGAAUGGAAAGAUGAUUUGAACAAAUAUCAAAUUAAAAUGAUCGUUGUGUUCAAAGUUGCUCUCAUAGCAGUUUGGAAAAAUGUAAUAACUGGAAAUAGAAAAUAGAUCUUAUAGAGAAACAGCUAAAAUGCUUUGCAUGGUCCAAAGGAUGUUUAUAAAAAUCUGAGUAAUAAUUAUGUAGAAUUAUAAGAAUUAAAAUAUUAGAUAAGAAUGUUAAUUAUUCUUUGCGCAGAUUAAAAAAAAAACAAGCUGCAGCUGAUUCUGGACAUCUUAACAUUCUUUUAAUAAUGAACAAAACUUUAUUAAGAUAGAGAAAUAUUAAAUCUACAGGACUUACUUUUAAUUGAUUCAGUGAAACUAAAACUAACUCUCUUAUUAAAUAGUAAUUGAUCAAACAGAGGAACACAUAGCCUUCAUGGAUUUCAAAUGCACCAUUAGCUCUGCUCCUAAAACCUUUAUUUUUAUUGCCAAUAUAAAACAAAAACAAAUGUUUGCAGUCCACUUUAAAGAAUCCAAAACAGAUUACAGUUUCUCUGGCUACAAGAUCAAUGUACCAAUGGGCUCUUUGCACCUGCUGCGCUGACGUCACAUCCUCAUUCAUCCGACACAUUAUGAGAGUCAAACUGUGUUUGCUGCAGCCAGGGCCGCAACUACAUAUUUUUGAGGUGGAUGCGAACAUCAUCAUUGUAAGCUAGCUUAAGCUAACCUGAAUAUUUACAACUCUCUUGUUGAUACACUGACAUUUCUUACCUUCUGUCUUUCAACCACUUUGAAAAGCUUUUCUUCGUCUCUCCAACAUCUUUAUCCUUCCCCCUCUUCCGUUUUCUGUUUUGGGCCCCGGAGUUUUUUCUGCGCCCCAUCUUUAGCUCCCUGUUGUUGAGGCAUUACUACAAAUUUAAAAGAAAACAAAACGCGCCUCAGCCGCUGCCCAAGCUGCCUGUAUGGGAGGGGGGCGCCUAAUCAGUGCUGUUCUUCUGUUAUUGAUCAUUUCAUACACAAACAGCUGUUAAGUACAUAAAAUGCUGACUAUAUGAAAAAAAUUCCCCACAUCGUUUUUGCGCCCCCUCUAGUGCAGCGCCCCUAUGCGUUGCAUACACUGCAUAGCCACCUUUUGCGCCACUGACUGUGGAAUAAACUUCACACUGGACUUCAAGCACGGUCGAUUCUGUGCCUCCACACUUUUCCUUUAGGUUCUGGGACCUUAAUUCCCAAAUUAAAGUCAAAAUGUAUUUUCAUCUAUAAAGGCAACUGGGCAACUUUA